GCCCAGGUAGCUCAGUCGGUAGAGCAGAGGACUGAAAAUCCUCGUGUCGGCAGUUCGAUUCUGUCCCUGGGCA
rfam:Pelobacter sp. SFB93, complete genome.